rnacentral:snRNA from 1 species
AUACCUUUCUCGGCCUUUUGCCUAAGAUCAACUGUAGUAUCUGUUCUUAUCAGUUUAAUAUCUGAUACUGACCCACAUGCAUUACUGCACGAGCCUGGAGAAGAACAACC